GCGGGCGUCGUUCAAUGGCAGGACCUGAGCUUCCCAUGCUCAAGACGUGGGUUCGAUUCCCAUCGCCCGCUCCA
rnacentral:tRNA from 2 species